rnacentral:rRNA from 1 species
CGCCAACACUGGGACUGAGAACUGCCCAGACUCCUACGGGAGGCUGCAGUCGAGAAUCAUUCGCAAUGGGCGCAAGCCUGACGAUGCGACGCCGUGUGAGUGAAGAAGGCCUUUGGGUCGUAAAGCUCUUUCGCCUGGGAACAAAAGAAGCUAGCUAAUAUCUAGCGGAUAUGAGGGUACCGG